GCCUCUUUAGCUCAGUUGAAGAAGCAGUGGUCUCGUAAAGCAGGGGUCGUGAGUUCAAACAUCACAGGAGGCA